GAUGAACGCUGGCGGCGUGCCUAAUACAUGCAAGUCGAGCGAACAGACGAGGAGCUUGCUCCUCUGACGUUAGCGGCGGACGGGUGAGUAACACGUGGAUAACCUACCUAUAAGACUGGGAUAACUUCGGGAAACCGGAGCUAAUACCGUAUAAUAUAUUGAACCGCAUGGUUCAAUAGUGAAAGACGGUGUUGCUGUCACUUAUAGAUGGAUCCGCGCUGCAUUAGCUAGUUGGUAAGGUAACGGCUUACCAAGGCAACGAUGCAUAGCCGACCUGAGAGGGUGAUCGGCCACACUGGAACUGAGACACGGUCCAGAGUACUACGGGAGGCAGCAGUAGGGAAUCUUCCGCAAUGGGGGAAAGCAUGACGGAGCAACGCCGCGUGAGUGAUGAAGGUCUUCGGAUCGUAAAACUCUGUUAUUAGGGAAGAACAAAUGUGUAAGUAACUGUGCACGUCUUGACGGUACCUAAUCAGAAAGCCACGGCUAACUACGUG
rnacentral:rRNA from 1 species